AUGUUUAAUAACUGCUCUAUUUGAGUCAGGAGAAAUGAAGUUUUUCUCAACCUUAGGCAGGUUUGUAGUCUCGCGUCCACCCAACUGAAUGUCUACGUACGCAUCUUCAAGGCAUUGAUUUAAACUCCUUCAUGAAUAUAGCGAGGUCAGAUAAGAGAAACACAUUGAUUGUCAAGGCUAAUUUAAUCUUCUUAUUUGUUCAAUAUUUGCACGGUAAUGUUGCUUCCGUCUGUCCCAACGGUAAAAGAGGAAAACUUCCAGUCAAAUGUAAAUACUGUGUAAUAUAGAUGCUGUUGAUAAUAGAAAUUGAUCAGUGCAGAGCGUGACCAAAAACGGGGCUAAAAGGUCAAAAUGUCCUCUGUCAUGGGUGAACAUGUAAUGACCCCAAAUUUUACACUCUGAAAGGAAAUAGAGUGAACACACAAACACACCCCCUGCAGGCCUGUAUUUCUCUACAUGAUGGUGCUUAUAAAUCUAUCAUCCCCUCUGCCACACGCACACACACACACACACACACACACACACAUAAUCAAAUUUGCUCCAGAGUUUCUGAAGGGUUCUCUGGCAAAAACCUUGUUUCUGAUUUGAGUUUGAAUUAUAGCUACAUGAGCAUUAUCGUAGAGCUCUGGGACGUAAAGCUGUUAGUGGGCGUAAAUGAAACGCCAGUGAAAUAAUGCUGUGUGUAUCGCACGAGAGGGCAUACGAUCUCUGAGUGCUUGUUUUUCCAUCUGCGGGGCUGCAGCCUUGAUGGACGAGGCGAUGGAGUCUGGGGAAUUUGCCACAAAUAAGCAGUGUUGGUACGAGGGUUGUGUGGCCAUCCUGCUAUGCUCAGAUCUCUGAGUCUUCACUGCGAUGCCUGACCUCUGCAGUCAAAGGGCAGCUCAAAAGAUGUUGGUAUUCUCACCACUCAGGAAGCCUCGUAGUGAGAAAAACCUCCUACUGCUUGCACUUGCAGGGACUCAUUAUGCACACACACACACACGCACACACACACGCACACUCACGACCCUAACCAGCAGCACAUGACCCCAACAACGCAAACUCUUUCAAGUCACACAACUCGAGCACACCUACGGACUCACCAAUACUUCAUCAUGACCACAGAUCUCCCGCUGCCAAUAAAAAAAAAUGAGGAAUGAGGACAGUUGGAUUGAGCUCCAAGCCACAGGGGGGAGUUUGGGUAAUAUUCAGACGGGUUUGCCUCAAGCAAUGAAAUCAAACAGAAACUCCCCGCAGAGUUAGACGUCUGUUAUUAAAGGCUGUUCUUCUGCGGUCAGGGUCAGCACAUACACCCCCCCGCCCCAUCCUUGGGACCAAAAACAAAAAUGAUGUAGGAUGCGGCAAAAAAAAACCCACCAGCCUAGACUCUCUGUGUGUGUGUGUGUGUGUGUGUGUGUGUGUGUGUGUGUGUGUGUGCUCAGCAGCCAACACAUUCGACAGUUGUAGCCUGUGAAAUAAGUUGCUGCCCUUGAACAAGGUGAAACGGUGUCGGCAUCUUUAUGUUUGAACUCGAUUGCCCUCCUUUUUAAAAGACUGGGAGCUGCCAUCACUUUUAUGAACGUAAGUAAUCAUAAAGAGUUAAACACCCAUUUCCUACAAACAAAAAAAAAAGAAUAUAACACAGGGUUUAUCGCAAUGCAACUGGGUCAACGCGCACAUGACCCGGCACUUGCUUAAGGUUUGUCCUUCCAUUGAUCAUCCUGGGCACACAGAAGAUAUCUUUUGCUCUCUGAACGACCUGAUGUGUUUCAUCAGGAAUUGCUGUGUGCAGUGU
ensembl:lncRNA